rnacentral:rRNA from 1 species
UACAGAGGGGCAAGCGUUGUUCGGAAUUACUGGCGUAAAGGGCGCGUAGGCGGCCUUCUAAGUCGAACGUGAAAUCCCUGGGCUCAACCCAGGAACUGCGUCCGAUACUGGAAGGCUUGAAUCCGGGAGAGGGAUGCGGAAUUCCAGGUGUAGCGGUGAAAUGCGUAGAUAUCUGGAGGAACACCGGUGGCGAAGGCGGCAUCCUGGACCGGCAUUGACGCUGAGGCGCGAAAGCCAGGGGAGCAACGGG